GCGGGAUUGAGCAAUUGAAAGUGUGCGCACUAACUGACGGGCAGAGUGGGUGUGUAGAGGCGAGUUCCCGCUCCGCUGAACCGCUUCUCCUCACAUGAACAGCGACAUGAUGAGCAGUGUAUAUGAUGUUUGUUUAAUUGCCAUCCAGUAGCCAAGAGCCAAGAAGAUUGACAGCCCC